rnacentral:rRNA from 1 species
GAGUAGUACUAGGAUGGGUGACCUCCUGGGAAGUCCUCGUGUUGCAUCCCU